rnacentral:rRNA from 1 species
GACGAACGCUGGCGGCGUGCUUAACACAUGCAAGUCAAGGACUGUAGCAAUACAGUACUGGCGCACGGGUGCGGAACACGUAGGCAAUCUGCCCUUUGGGGGAAAACAACCCGUUGAAAGACGGGCUAACAUUCCGUAAUAUCGAUCGGUGGCAUCACCGGACGAUCAAAUUUUCCAAAGGAUGAGCCUGCGUCUGAUUAGCUAGUUGGCGGGGUAACGGCCCACCAAGGCUACGAUCAGUAGCUGGUCUGAGAGGAUGAUCAGCCACAU